rnacentral:rRNA from 1 species
GACGAACGCUGGCGGCGUGCUUAACACAUGCAGGUCGAACGGAAAGGCCCUGCUUUUGUGGGGUGCUCGAGUGGCGAACGGGUGAGUAACACGUGAGUAACCUGCCCUUGACUUUGGGAUAACUUCAGGAAACUGGGGCUAAUACCGGAUAGGAGCUCCUGCUGCAUGGUGGGGGUUGGAAAGUUUCGGCGGUUGGGGAUGGACUCGCGGCUUAUCAGCUUGUUGGUGGGGUAGUGGCUUACCAAGGCUUUGACGGGUAGCCGGCCUGAGAGGGUGACCGGCCACAUUGGGACUGGGAUACGGCCCAGACUCCUACGGGAGGCAGCAGUGGGGAAUAUUGCACAAUGGGCGGAAGCCUGAUGCAGCAACGCCGCGUGCGGGAUGACGGCCUUCGGGUUGUAAACCGCUUUCGCCUGUGACGAAGCGUGAGUGACGGUAAUGGGUAAAGAAGCACCGGCUAACUACGUG